rnacentral:rRNA from 1 species
GAUGAACGCUGGCGGCGUGCCUAAUACAUGCAAGUCGAGCGAACAGACGAGGAGCUUGCUCCUCUGACGUUAGCGGCGGACGGGUGAGUAACACGUGGAUAACCUACCUAUAAGACUGGGAUAACUUCGGGAAACCGGAGCUAAUACCGGAUAACAUGUUGAACCGCAUGGUUCAACAGUGAAAGACGGUCUUGCUGUCACUUAUAGAUGGAUCCGCGCCGCAUUAGCUAGUUGGUAAGGUAACGGCUUACCAAGGCAACGAUGCGUAGCCUACCUGAGAGGGUGAUCGGCCACACUGGAACUGAGACACGGUCCAGACUCCUACGGGAGGCAGCAGUAGGGAAUCUUCCGCAAUGGGCGAAAGCCUGACGGAGCAACGCCGCGUGAGUGAUGAAGGUCUUCGGAUCGUAAAACUCUGUUAUAGGGAAGAACAAAUGUGUAAGUAACUAUGCACGUCUUGACGGUACCUAAUCAGAAAGCCACGGCUAACUACGUG